rnacentral:rRNA from 1 species
ACGAACGCUGGCGGCGUGCCUAACACAUGCAAGUCGAGCGGAGACAGUGAGUAGCUUGCUAUGAGCUGUUUUAGCGGCGGACGGGUGAGUAACGCGUGAGCAACCUUUCCCAGACAGGGGAAUAACACACCGAAAGGUGUACCAAUACCGCAUAAGACCACGGAAUCACAUGGUUCUGGGGUAAAAGAUUUAUCGGUUUGGGGUGGGCUCGCGUCCGAUUAGGUAGUUGGUGAGGUAACGGCCCACCAAGCCGACGAUCGGUAGCCGACCUGAGAGGGUGAUCGGCCACAUUGGGACUGAGACACGGCCCAAACUCCUACGGGAGGCAGCAGUGGGGAAUAUUGGGCAAUGGAGGAAACUCUGACCCAGCAACGCCGCGUGGAGGAAGAAGGUUUUCGGAUCGUAAACUCCUGUCCUUGGAGACGAGUAGAAGACGGUAUCCAAGGAGGAAGCCCCGGCUAACUACGUGCCAGCAGCCGCGGUAAUACGUAGGGGGCAAGCGUUGUCCGGAAUAAUUGGGCGUAAAGGGCGCGUAGGCGGCUCGGUAAGUCUGGAGUGAAAGUCCUGCUUUUAAGGUGGGAAUUGCUUUGGAUACUGUCGGGCUUGAGUGCAGGAGAGGUUAGUGGAAUUCCCAGUGUAGCGGUGAAAUGCGUAGAGAUUGGGAGGAACACCAGUGGCGAAGGCGACUUUCUGGUCUGUAACUGACGCUGAUGUGCGAAAGCGUGGGGAUCAAACAGGAUUAGAUACCCUGGUAGUCCACACCGUAAACGAUGGAUACUAGGUGUAGGGUGUAUUAAGCAUUCUGUGCCGUCGCAAACGCAGUAAGUAUUCCACCUGGGGAGUACGUUCGCAAGAAUGAAACUCAAAGGAAUUGACGGGGGCCCGCACAAGCAGCGGAGCAUGUGGUUUAAUUCGACGCAACGCGAAGAACCUUACCAGGUCUUGACAUCCACUUAAACUUACAGAGAUGUAAGGUGUGCUUGCACAAAGUGAGACAGGUGGUGCAUGGUUGUCGUCAGCUCGUGUCGUGAGAUGUUGGGUUAAGUCCCGCAACGAGCGCAACCCUUAUCUUCAGUUACUAACGCGUGAAGGUGAGGACUCUGAAGAGACUGCCGGGGACAACUCGGAGGAAGGUGGGGACGACGUCAAAUCAUCAUGCCCCUUAUGACCUGGGCUACACACGUGCUACAAUGGCCACGACAGAGAGAAGCGAAAUCGUAAGGUAGAGCGGAACUCAAAAAAGUGGUCCCAGUUCGGAUUGUGGGCUGCAACCCGCCCACAUGAGGUCGGAGUUGCUAGUAAUCGCGGAUCAGCAUGCCGCGGUGAAUACGUUCCCGGGCCUUGUACACACCGCCCGUCACACCAUGGGAGUUGGGAGUGCCCAAAGCCGGUGAGGCAACCGCAAGGAGCCAGCCGUCUAAGGCAAGACCAAUGACUGGGGUG